AGCAGCCGCGGUAAUUCCAGCUCCAAUAGCGUAUAUUAAAGUUGCUGCAGUUAAAAAGCUCGUAGUUGAAUUUCGGGACCAUCAUGUCGGUCGUGCCUCGGUACGUACUGGCAUUGUUGGUUUCUCCCUUCUGACGAACCAUGAUGUCAUUUAUUUGGUGUCGUGGGAAAUCAGGACUGUUACUUUGAAAAAAUUAGAGUGUUUAAAGCAGGCUCACGCUUGAAUACAUUAGCAUGGAAUAAUGAAAUAGGACGUUUGAUUCUAUUUUGUUGGUUUCUAGGAUCGACGUAAUGAUUAAUAGGGAUAGUUGGGGGCGAUUAGUAUUCAAUUGUCAGAGGUGAAAUUCUUGGAUUUAUUGAAGACUAACUACUGCGAAAGCAUUUGCCAAGGAUGUUUUCAUAAUCAAGAACGAAAGUUAGGGGAUCGAAGACGAUCAGAUACCGUCGUAGUCUUAACCAUAAACUAUGCCGACUAGGGAUCGGAUGAUGUUAAUUUUUAAUGA
rnacentral:misc_RNA from 1 species